rnacentral:rRNA from 1 species
AUUAACGCUGGCGGCGUGCAUAACACAUGCCAGUCGCACGAUGAAACUUAAAUGAUUUCUUCGGAAUGAACUUAAGUGGAUUAGUGGCGGACGGGUGAGUAACGCGUGAGUAACCUGCCUUACACAAGGGGAUAGCCGUUGGAAACGACGAAUAAUACCCUAUGAAACUAUCACUUCGCAUGAAGCGAUAGUCAAAGUGUUAGCGGUGUAAGAUGGACUUGCGUCUGAUUAGCUAGUUGGUGAGAAAAAAGCCCACCAAGGCAACGAUCAGUAGCCGGCUUGAGAGAGUGUACGGCCACAUUGGGACUGAGACACGGCCCAGACUCCUACGGGAGGCAGCAGUGGGGAAUUUUGCACAAUGGGGGAAAACCUGAUGCAGCGACGCCGCGUGAUUUAGAAGGCCUUCGGGUUGUAAAAAUCUUUUGUAUAGGAAGAAAAUGACAGUACUAUACGAAUAAGGUCCGGCUAAUUACGUG